rnacentral:lncRNA from 1 species
AGGGAUUGAGGCCAAGUCACACCAGCAACCAAUCACCCUAAGGGGUACCUGCAAAAAUUAUGCCACAAGAAAGGCUGAGUAUACUAAUAUUCAGCUAGAUUUACUCGGUGUGAGGAGUCUACUCCUCUACCUCUAGACAUGCAGCUGUUUGGCUGAGGGGUUUGGUUUGCCAAAAGCACUAGCUGAGUCUAAAAUCAAAUUUUAGCUUUUCAAGUUUUAGUAUGAUUCCUUUUUAAGUAGAUGAGUACCUAGCUACUCAUACAUGGUAUCAAACAUUUUAUCAAUCAACAUCUUUUGCCAGUCACCUCAUUUCCACUUAUUACUCAAUGUAGCAGCAUGGAUCAAGCAGUCUCAUUAGCUGCGAGAAGCAGACGAUUCGAAUCGAGUUUUUAAACCUUGCAAGGUAAACCUAAACACACGACAUGGCGAGGCACUCCGUCCCCACACACAUCAACCGUCCCCGUCGAUUCCCUGGCAACAGAUCAGGGCUCACCGCCUUGGCGUACAAUGCCGCACUGACCCCGACUGCCGUCGUGCAGUGACCGCAUUUGUACCCAGCAUAACCAGAAUGGGAGACCACGUCUCAGGUCGCGUGAGGGGAUAUGUCUGCUGGCAGGUUCAAUCAGGUACUAGGCUUACCGAUUUACCAUAUUUCUCGGCAUGUGCUUAGUACAUUCAAACGCUUGACACACGGUACCACACCUUAAUCCUUAUUCCAAUUUCUGUCUCGUAGACAACGCAUCCCCAUGGACCGUUGUCCAUAGACCACCAUCAUUAUGAUAUAAAAAUGGAUACAACCAAUUUCCUGACCUCACGCGAGUGCUAGAAAAAUCACUCGACUUCUACCGAGAUCCCUGAUUAAUAAAGCAGCUACUCGACCUAGCAUACUAGUAUCCAUCUCAAAAGUAUCCUGAGUUCAUGCAACUAAGGUUUCAGUCAACUCCUACAUUUAAGUGCACAGUACAAGCCUACAAACAUUAAGUGUAGUAAAAUAGCAUAAUAAAUAGGUUAUGCAUAAAACUGGGGCUUGCCUUUAAUUUAACACUUAGAUAGUGUUUGCUGGGGAGGUACUCGCUUGGCGAGCAUCCACUGGUUAAGUCCAUCGUUCCUUGGAUCGUCUACCGACUGCACCUUGUGGCUGGCACCACGUCACUAGCUCGAUCAUCAUCUCUCGGUCCUAAAUGAGAUGCAAGAUGCAUAUGUAUGAAUAUAAUGCAAAGUUAUCACAAGAUAUAUAUAAAGACAAAUGGUAGCGAGCUAGACACUUAAUUUUAAGACACUGUAACCAACCAUAUGCUAGCAUUAGCUAUCUACACGUUAUCGAGCGCACCACAUCAAUACCACUGGAAGGACGACGAUUACUACCUAUAAUUAACCAACACAAACAGGACAUCACAAGUAUGAGCAUUUAUUUAAUUAGCUACGGUUUUUCAUUAGUUCUUCUAUUAAGCACACAAAAAGCAUCCCAACACAAGUUUAAUAGAGGACCUAUGCAUCAAUGUCGAUAGACUCCUAUAUCACAAUCAACUACAACAAGCAAGCACAUUAAUCAUGGAACGUAUGUUAACCUAAGUUUAGACAUUACAAGUCUAUAUCCGUUAAGUGCUAACUAAACAUUUUUAGCCAAAAGGUGAACUAAACAAUCAAAUGCGCAUUUGCAGAUUUUUGGGAUAGCAACACAGCAGUUACUUGUUUUAAUCAUAACUUUUCAAAUAUUAAUCCAAACAUAGCAAACUAGGACUUUCUGGAAAGCUUACAAAGGGCUCUACAACUUUGCUAUUUUUAAGUCAAUCGGAUUCAACACUUAGCAAGGUCAAAAAGUGCAAUCACAGCAGCUCUGUCCAGAUUUGGACAGAUUCAGACUUGCAACUUCAAAAAUUCCCAACUAAAGAUUCAGACAUCCAAACAAUUUGAUCCUAUACUUUAUGGAAAGGUAAUUAAAUUGCCUACAUAUCAUUUAUAAACAUCUUAAGGUGAUUCGAUAUUUAACUAAGGAUAAAAGACACUAGAAGGCUUUGCUCUUCCAGAUUUGGACAGAUUCAGUCUUCAGACUUUAAACAUCCAUAACUUAAUCUUCAGAUCACCAAAAAGAGUGAUCCAAGACUUUUUGGAAAGCUCAGCAAAAGCACUACAUAACUUUUAUAAUCACCAAGAAGUGAUUCCAGGUUUAAUCAAAUCAAACAUUACAGUUUUCGAAAUCUGUUCUAACAUAGGACAGAACACAGCAACCAGUUUGUAAAAUUCAUAACUCUUAAACUAUCAGGCCUAUGGUUAUGAAAUUUUAACACAAGCAAGAUCAGAAAAGAAUCUACAACUUUCUUAUAACGACCAUGAACAGAUUGCAAAAAUAAAUUGAGAAAACAAUGCAGUUUCUGAAAUCUGUACAGAAUUUGGACAGAUUCAGUUACUAAAUUUGUAAAAACCAUAACUCCUAAACUGUCAGACCUUUGACCGUCAAAUUUUAACACCAGCAAGAUAAUAAAGUUGUCCAUAACUUUCUUGUGACCAUCAAUCACUGAUUUCAACAUUAACUUAAGCAACCAUUGCAAUCUCUGAAAUCUGUUCAGAAAUUCGACAGAUUCAGGUGCUGGGCUUGUGAAAAGCACAACUCCUAAACGAUCAGGUUUAUGGCUGUCAACGUUUUGUACAAGCAAGAUAAUCAUGUUAUCUAUAACUCUUCUAUAUGACUUUUCUACAGAAAACAUGAUUUGGUUUAUCAAACAAACAGCACAACGAAAAACAAUGCGUGCAGCCCAAAACAGCAAUCAAUAAAUUCCAGCUUCUAUAUAAUUCAAGAAUUGUCGCGUUCUAGAGACUUGAAUUAUUCUAACAUUUUGACAUUCGUUAGAGUUAAAAAUAACCAAGUGAGGAAUAACAAGUAGACUUACUAAUUUUAUACAAGUCAUUUUGUGCGCUAGAAUUACCACACAAUUAACAAACGUAUUCACCAAAAUAAAACACUUCGGCACACAUGUCCGACAUCACACAAAAUCAUGAUGAAGCACUAUUAAUAUUUAUCUUUAGAACACCAUGACAUAACCAUUAAAUCUCUAAUUAGUUUUAAGGUGUAAUUCAAACAUUCCAGAGAUACGCAUGGUUUGCUUACUUCUAAUUUCUCGCUAACUCCUACCAUUAUAUACUGAGUGAUAUUUUAGCAUCAUAUGAAACUAUCUAAUUUGGGGCUGGAAUUUUUAUGAGACAUAGGUAAUAACAAAUUAUGAUUAAUGUAUAAAUUUCACAUGCUCAGGUUUUAUAUUUUAUUUACUACAAGAAUAACAAAUUGUUAUUGUAAUAAAGCAUGUGAGAGCAAGUUAAAUCUAAAACUAAUUAUUUUCUGUGGAUUCAUGACCAUAUUAAGUUUCCUUAGGCUACUAUAAUAUUAUGCAAGGACAGUGGAACACCAUUUUACAUUUUUUCAUUCAUAUAUUAUUUAUAAAUCAUUUAAAACUACUUAAUGUGCAUUAAACAAGUUAAAUCACUAACUUAAUCAUACAUGCACAACAAUUCAUGAAAAUUUUAUCAGUCACCAAGCAUCACACCAAGAGUAUACAGUACAAAUUUCAAUCCAUUUGGAGCAAUGGAGCUACAGAUCCAAAAAUAACAAGCAAAACAAUCAUCUUUUUACUAUUUAACAAGUUUUAAUUAACACACCAAGAAAACGGUGAACAACAUAUAAGUUUUAUAUUUUUCUUAGAUGGAGUAUGACAACAUCUAACUAACAAAACAUGUUUCAUCAUUUUUGGAUUUUUAUAAAUAAAACUAUGGAGAGAAGCGAGUUCAUUUAUUUUCUAAACCUGUUUUAAGUACGAAUUUCUAUAGCCAAAUACUUCUACUAAAACAUCCCAACUUAUGUAUCCACGGCAUAGAGAAUUUCACAAGGAUUCCAAAAAGUUCUCAUUUGCCAUUUUACGAUUUGUCUAUGAAUUUUUACCAAUUUUUAAAGUUAAGCACAGAUUCUACAAAUUCAAGUGCUUCUACCUUCACUCCGAGCCCACGUGUCAUAGGCACACGAGAGCUUCUUCUACCUUGACGUAGCUGCAGGUUUAUUUCCUUCAUGGAGCACGCACGGACAGGGGAGGAGAUGAUGGGAGGGGUUCAGCUGGGGAGUGAAAGUCACCUAGAGGGGGGGUGAAUAGGGCGAAACUGAAAUUUACAAAUAUAAACACAACUACAAGCCGGGGUUAGCGUUAGUAAUAAGAAACGAGUCCGCAAGAGAGGGCGCAAAACAAAUCCCAAGCGAAUAAGCAAGUGAGACACGGAGAUUUGUUUUACCGAGGUUCGGUUCUUGCAAACCUACUCCCCGUUGAGGAGGCCACAAAGGCCGGGUCUCUUUCAACCCUUCCCUCUCUCAAACGGUCCCUUGGACCGAGUGAUCUUCUCUUCUCAAAUCAAAGCCGGGAACAAAAACUUCCCCGCAAGGGCCACCACACAAUUGGUGCCUCUUGCCUUGAUUACAAUGGAGUUGUGAUCUCAAGAACAAGUGAGAGAGAAAAGAAGCAAUCCAAGCGCAAGAGCUCAAAUGAACACGGCAAAUCACUCUCACUAGUCACUAGGGUUUUGUGUGGAAUUGGAGAGGAUUUGAUCUCUUUGAAUGUGUCUAGAAUUGAAUGCCUAGCUCUUGUAAGUGGUUGAGAAGUGGGAAAACUUGGAUGCAAUGAAUGGAGGGGUGGUUGGGGUAUUUAUAGCCCCAACCACCAAAAGUGGCCGUUGGAAGGCUGCCUGUUCGAUGGCGCACCGGACAGUCCGGUGCACACCGGACAGUCCGGUGCCCCCUGCCACGUCAUCACUGCCGUUGGAUUCUAGCCGUUGGAGCUUCUGACUUGUGGGCCCGCCUGUGUGUCCGGUGCACACCGGACAUGUACUGUUUGAUGUCCGGUGCACCAGUAUGGGCGUGCCUGACGUCUGCGCGCGCUGCGCGCGCAUUAAAUGCACCGCAGGGAGCCGUUGGCGCCGCAGGGAGCCGUUGGCGCCGCAGGGAGCCGUUGCUUCGCUGGCACACCGGACAGUCCGGUGCACACCGGACAGUCCGGUGAAUUUUAGCGGAGCGGCUGCCGCGCGAACCCGAGGCUGGCGAGUUCUGGAGACCGCGCUUCCUUGGAGCACCGGACAUGUCCGGUGCACACCGGACAGUCCGGUGAAUUAUAACGCGCCGGCUUCCGAGAAUUCCCGAGGGCGAAGGGUUUGAGUUGAUGUCCUCUGGGCGCACCGGACACUGUCCGGUGCACACCGGACAGUCCGAUGCCUCCAGCCAGAGGUGCCCUCGGUUGCCUCAUUGCUCCUUUGUUGAAUCCAAUACUUGGUCUUUUUAUUGACUGAAUGUGAACCUUAUACACCUGUAUAAUCUAUACACUUGGGCAAACUAGUUAGUCCAAAGAUUUGUGUUGGGCAAUUCAAUCAUCAAAAUUAUUUGGGAACUAGGUGAAAGCCUAAUUCCCUUUCAAUCUCCCCCUUUUUGGUGAUUGAUGCCAACACAAACCAAAGCAAAUAUAGAAGUGCAUAAUUGAACUAAUUUGCAUAAUGUAAGUGUAAAGGUUGCUUGGAAUUGAGUCAAUAAAACUACUUACAAGAUAUGCAUGGAAUGUUUCUUUCUUAUUUAGCAUUUUGGACCACGUUUGCACCACAUGUUUUGUUUUUGCAAAUCCUUUUGUAAAUCCAUUUCAAAGAUCUUUUGCAAAUAGUCAAAGGUAAAUGAAUAAGAGUUUGCAAAAGCAUUUUCAAGAUUUGAAAUUUUCUCCCCUCGUUUUAAAUGCUUUUCCUUUGACUUAACAAAACUCCCCCUAAAUGAGAUACUCCUCUUAGUGUUCAAGAGGGUUUUGAUAUACCAUUUUUGAAAUACUGCUUUCUCCCCCUUUUGAUAUACCAAUUGAAAAAUACUUUUGGAAAGUACUAAGUUUUUGAAAUUUGUGGUGGUGCGGUCCUUUUGCUUUGGGCUCAUUUCUCCCCCUUUUUGGCAUGAAUCGCCAAAAAACGGAAUCAUUAGAGCCCUCGAAGAGCUAUCUUCCUCUUUGGUCAUAAAUAAAUGGGUUGAGAUUAUACCAAAGGAGAAGUCCUUUUCUUUGAUGCUCAUUUCUCCCCAAAGAAUAGAGAGUUGCUUGGAGUGAUGGCGAAGGAUGAGUUACGGAGUGGAAGCCUUUGUCUUCGCCGAAGACUCCAAUUCCCUUUCAAUAUACCUAUGACUUGGUUUGAAAUAGACUUGAAAACACAUUAGUCAUAGCAUAAAAGAGAUAUGAUCAAAGGUAUUCAAAUGAGCUAUGUGUGCAAGCUAGCAAAAGAAAUUUCUAGAAUCAAGAAUAUUGAGCUCAUGCCUAAGUCUGGUAAAAGAUUGUUCAUCAAGUGGCUUGGUAAAGAUAUCGGCUAAUUGAUCUUUAGUAUUAAUGUAAGAAAUCUCGAUAUCCCCCUUUUGUUGGUGAUCCCUAAGAAAAUGAUACCGAAUGGCUAUGUGCUUAGUGCGGCUAUGCUCGACGGGAUUGUCGGCCAUUUUGAUUGCACUCUCAUUAUCACAUAGCAAAGGGACUUUGGUUAAUUUGUAACCGUAGUCCCGCAGGGUUUGCCUCAUCCAAAGCAAUUGCGCGCAACAAUGACCUGCGGCAAUGUACUCGGCUUCGGCGGUGGAAAGAGCGACUGAAUUUUGCUUCUUUGAAGCCCAUGACACCAAGGAUCUUCCCAAGAACUGACAAGUCCCCGAUGUGCUCUUCCUAUUAAUUUUGCACCCCGCCCAAUCGGCAUCCGAAUAACCAAUCAAAUCAAAUGUGGAUCCCCGAGGGUACCAAAGCCCAAACUUAGGUGUAUAAGCCAAAUAUCUCAAGAUUCGUUUUACGGCCGUAAGGUGUGAUUCCUUAGGGUCGGCUUGGAAUCUUGCACACAUGCAGACGGAAAGCAUAAUGUCCGGUCGAGAUGCACAUAAAUAAAGCAAUGAACCAAUCAUCGACCGGUAUACCUUUUGAUCCACGGACUUACCUCCCGUGUCGAGGUCGAGAUGCCCAUUUGUUCCCAUGGGAGUCUUGAUGGGCUUGGCAUCCUUCAUUCCAAACUUGCUCAGAAUGUCUUGAGUAUACUUUGUUUGGCAAAUGAAUGUGCCCUCUUGGAGUUGCUUCACUUGAAAUCCUAGAAAAUACUUCAACUCCCCCAUCAUAGACAUCUCGAAUUUCUUUGUCAUGAUCCUACUAAAUUCUUCACAUGUAGAUUCGUUAGUAGACCCAAAUAUAAUAUCAUCAACAUAAAUUUGGCAUACAAACAAAUCAUUGUCAAGAGUUUUAGUAAAGAGUGUAGGAUCGGCCUUGCCGACUUUGAAGCCAUUAGCAAUAAGGAAAUCUCUUAGGCAUUCAUACCAUGCUCUUGGGGCUUGCUUGAGCCCAUAAAGCGCCUUAGAGAGCCUAUAAACAUGGUUAGGAUACUCACUGUCUUCAAAGCCGGGAGGUUGCUCAACGUAGACCUCUUCCUUGAUUGGUCCAUUGAGGAAGGCACUUUUCACGUCCAUUUGAUAAAGCUUAAAGCCAUGGUAAGUAGCAUAGGCCAAUAAUAUGCGAAUUGACUCAAGCCUAGCUACGGGUGCAUAGGUUUCACCGAAAUCCAAACCUUCGACUUGUGAAUAUCCUUUGGCCACAAGUCGAGCUUUGUUCCUUGUCACCACACCAUGCUCGUCUUGCUUGUUGCGGAAGACCCAUUUGGUUCCUACAACAUUUUGGUUAGGACGUGGAACUAAAUGCCAUACCUCAUUUCUAGUGAAGUUGUUGAGCUCCUCUUGCAUCGCCACCACCCAAUCCGAAUCUUGAAGUGCUUCCUCUACCCUGUGUGGUUCAAUAGAGGAAACAAAAGAGUAAUGUUCACAAAAAUGAGCAACACGAGAUCUAGUGGUUACCCCCUUAUGAAUAUCGCCGAGGAUGGUGUCGACGGGGUGAUCUUGUUGGAUUGCUUGGUGGACUCUUGGGUGUGGCGGCCUUGGUUCUUCCUCAUCCUCCUUUUCUUGAUCAAUUGCAUCUCCCCCUUGAUCAUUGCCAUUAUCUUGAGGUGGCUCAUCUUCUUGAUUUUGUCCUUCAUCAGCUUGAGCUUCAUCCUCAUUUUGAGUUGGUGGAGAUGCUUGCGUGGAGGAGGACGGUUGAUCUUGUGCAUGUGGAGGCUCUUCGGAUUCCUUAGGACACACAUCCCCAAUGGACAUGUUCCUUAGCGCUAUGCAUGGAGCCUGUUCUUCACCUAUCUCAUCAAGAUCAACUUGCUCUACUUGAGAGCCGUUAGUUUCAUCAAACACAACGUCACAUGAGACUUCAACUAGUCCAGUGGACUUGUUAAAGACUCUAUAUGCCCUUGUGUUUGAGUCAUAUCCUAGUAAAAAGCCUUCUACAGUUUUAGGUGCAAAUUUAGAUUUUCUACCUCUUUUAACAAGAAUAAAGCAUUUGCUACCAAAAACUCUAAAGUAUGAAAUGUUGGGCUUUUUACCGGUUAGGAGUUCAUAUGAUGUCUUCUUGAGGAUUCGGUGAAGAUAUAACCGGUUGAUGGCGUAGCAGGCGGUGUUGACCGCUUCGGCCCAAAACCGGUCCGGUGUCUUGUAUUCAUCAAGCAUGGUUCUUGCCAUGUCCAAUAGAGUUCGAUUCUUCCUCUCCACUACACCAUUUUGUUGAGGUGUGUAGGGAGAAGAGAACUCAUGCUUGAUGCCCUCCUCUUCAAGGAAGCCUUCAAUUUGAGAGUUCUUGAACUCCGUCCCGUUGUCGCUUCUUAUUUUCUUGAUCCUUAAGCCGAACUCAUUUUGAGCUCGUCUCAAGAAUCCCUUUAAGGUCUCUUGGGUUUGAGAUUUUUCUUGUAAAAAGAAUACCCAAGUGAAGCGAGAAUAAUCAUCCACUAUUACAAGACAAUACUUACUCCCGCCGAUGCUUAAGUAAGCAAUCGGGCCGAAUAGAUCCAUAUGGAGUAGCUCAAGUGGCCUGUCGGUCGUCAUGAUGUUCUUGUGUGGAUGAUGGACUCCAACUUGCUUCCCCGCCUGGCAUGCGCUACAAAUCCUGUCUUUCUCAAAAUGAACAUUUGUUAAUCCUAAAAUGUGCUCUCCCUUUAGAAGCUUAUGAAGAUUCUUCAUCCCAACAUGGGCUAGUCGGCGGUGCCAGAGCCAACCCAUGUUAGUCUUAGCAAUUAAGCAAGUGUCGAGUUCAGCUCUAUCAAAAUCUACCAAGUAUAGCUGACCCUCUAACACUCCCUUAAAUGCUAUUGAAUCAUCACUUCUUCUAAAGACAGUGACACCUAUAUCAGUAAAAAGACAGUUGUAGCCCAUUUGACAUAAUUGUGAAACAGAAAGCAAGUUGUAAUCUAAAGAAUCUACAAGAAAGACAUUGGAAAUAGAAUGGUCAGGAGAUAUAGCAAUUUUACCCAAUCCUUUGACCAAACCUUGAUUUCCAUCCCCGAAUGUGAUAGCUCGUUGGGGAUCUUGGUUUUUCUCAUAUGAGGAGAACAUCCUUUUCUCCCCUGUCAUGUGGUUUGUGCAUCCGCUGUCGAGUAUCCAACUUGAGCCCCCGGAUGCAUAAACCUACAAAACAAAUUUAGUUCUUGACUUUAGGUACCCAAACUGUUUUGGGUCCUUUGGCAUUAGAAACAAGAACUUUGGGUACCCAAACACAAGUCUUGGAGCCCUUGUGUUUGCCCCCAACAAACUUGGCAACGAUCUUGCCGGAUUUGUUAGUCAAAACAUAUGAUGCAUCAAAAGUCUUAAAUGAAAUGCUAUGUACAUUUGAUGCAUUAGGAAUUUUCUUCUUAGGCAACUUGGCACGGGUUGGUUGCCUAGAACUAGAUGUCUCACCCUUAUACAUAAAAGCAUGAUUAGGACCAGAGUGAGACUUCCUAGAAUGAAUUUUCCUAAUUUUGUCCUCGGGAUAACUGGCAGGGUAUAAAAUGUAACCCUCGUUAUCCUGAGGCAUGGGAGCCUUGCCCUUAACAAAAUUUGACAAUCUUUUAGGAGGGGCACUAAGUUUGACAUUGUCUCCCCUUUGGUAGCCAAUGCCAUCCUUAAUGCCAGGGCGUCUCCCAUUAUAAAGCAUGCUACGAGCAAAUUUAAAUUUCUCAUUCUCUAGGUUGUGCUCGGCAAUUUUAGCAUCUAGUUUUGCUAUAUGAUCAUUUUGUUGUUUAAUUAAAGCCAUAUGAUCAUGAAUAGCAUUAACAUCAACAUCUCUACAUCUAGUACAAAUAGAUACAUGCUCAACAAUAGAUGUAGAGGGUUUGCAAGAAUUAAGUUCAACAAUCUGAGCAUGAAGAAUAUCAUUUUUAUCCCUAAGAUCGGAAAUUGUAGUUUUGCAAACAUCAAAAUCUUUAGCCUUAGCAAUUAAAUUUUCAUUUUCUAUUCUAAGGCUAGCAAGAGAAAUGUUUAAUUCUUCAAUCCUAGCAAGCAAAUCAUCAUUAUUAUCUCUAGGAAUGGGAAUUGAAACAUUACAAACAUGUGAAUCAACCUUAGCAUUUAAACUAGCAUUUUCAUUCCUAAGGUUGUCAAUCAUCUCACGGCAAGUGCUUAGCUCACUAGAUAACUUUUCACAUUUUUCAAUUUCAAGAGCAUAAGCCUUUUUAACCUUAACAUGUUUUUUGUUUUCUUUAAUUAGACAAUCCUCUUGGGAAUCCAAAAGGUCAUCCUUUUCAUGAAUAGCACUAACCAAUUCAUUCAAUUUUUCCUUUUGAGCUAUGUUAAGGUUGGCAAAAAGGGAACGCAAAUUUUCUUCCUCAUCACUAGCAUUGUCAUCACUAGAGGAUUCAUAUUUAGUGGAGGAUUUAGAUUUAACCUUCUUUUUGCCGUCCUUUGCCAUGAGGCACUUGUGGCCGACGUUGGGGAAGAGGAGUCCCUUGGUGACGGCGAUGUUGGCGGCGUCCUCGUCGUCGGAGGAGUCGCUUGAGCUUUCGUCGGAGUCCCACUCGCGACAAACAUGGGCAUCGCCGCCCUUCUUCUUAUAGUACCUCUUCUUCUCCUUUCUUCUUCCCUUCUUGUCGUCGCCUCGGUCACUGUCACUAGAUAUAGGACAUUUAGCAAUAAAAUGACCGGGCUUACCACACUUGUAGCAAACCUUCUUGGAGCGGGACUUGUAAUCCUUUCCCCUCCUUUGCUUGAGGAUUUGGCGGAAGCUCUUGAUGACGAGCGCCAUUUCCUCAUUGUCGAGCUUGGAGGCGUCUAUGGGUUGUCGACUUGGUGUAGACUCCUCCUUCUUCUCCUCCGUUGCCUUGAAUGCAACGGGUUGAGCUUCGGAUGUGGUGGCAUCAUCAAGCUCGUUGAUCUUCCUUGAGCCUUCGAUCAUGCACUCAAAACUUACAAAAUUCCCGAUAACUUCCUCGGGGGUCAUUUUAGUAUAUCUAUGAUUACCACGAAUUAAUUGAACUUGAGUAGGGUUAAGGAAAAUAAGUGAUCUUAGAAUAACCUUAACCACCUCGUGGUCAUCCCAUUUUACGCUCCCGAGGUUGCGUGCUUGGUUCACCAAGGUCUUGAGCCGAUUGUACAUGUGUUGUGGCUCCUCCCCUUUGCGAAGCCGGAACCGACCGAGCUCCCCCUCAAUCGUUUCCCGCUUGGUGAUCUUGGUGAGCUCAUCACCUUCAUGCGCGGUCUUGAGUAAAUCCCAAAUCUCCUUGGCGCUCUUCAACCCUUGUACUUUGUUAUACUCCUCUCUACUUAGAGAGGCGAGGAGUAUUGUUGUUGCUUGAGAGUUGAAGUGCUCGAUUUGGGCCACCUCAUCCUCAUCAUAGUCCUCAUCCCCUACGGAUGGUACCUGCGCGCCAAACUCAACAACAUCCCAUAUGCUUUUGUGGAGCGAGGUUAAAUGAAAUCGCAUUAAAUCGCUCCACCUAGCGUAAUAUUCACCAUCAAAAGUUGGUGGUUUGCCUAAUGGGACGGAAAGUAAAGGUGUAUGUUUGGAAAUGCGAGGGUAGCGUAGGGGGAUCUUACUAUACUUCUUGCGCUCUUGGCGCUUAGAAGUGACGGAGGGCGCAUCGGAGUCGGAGGUUGAUGUUGAUGAAGUGUCGGUCUCGUAGUAGACCACCUUCCUCAUCCUCUUGUGCUUGUCGCCUUUCCGAUGCGGCUUGUGGGAAGAAGAUUUUUCCUUCUUCUCUUUGUGGUGAGAAGAAGAUUUCUUCUCCUUCCCUUUGUUGGAGGAGCUCUUCUUCUUCUCCCUCCUUUUGGUGCGGGACUCUUCCGACGAAGUGCUCCCGUGGCUUGUAGUGGGCUUUUCGCCGGUCUCCAUCUCCUUCUUGGCGUGAUCUCCCGACAUCACUUCGAGCGGUUAGGCUCUAAUGAAGCACCGGGCUUUGAUACCAAUUGAAAGUCGCCUAGAGGGGGGGUGAAUAGGGCGAAACUGAAAUUUACAAAUAUAAACACAACUACAAGCCGGGGUUAGCGUUAGUAAUAAGAAACGAGUCCGCAAGAGAGGGCGCAAAACAAAUCCCAAGCGAAUAAGCAAGUGAGACACGGAGAUUUGUUUUACCGAGGUUCGGUUCUUGCAAACCUACUCCCCGUUGAGGAGGCCACAAAGGCCGGGUCUCUUUCAACCCUUCCCUCUCUCAAACGGUCCCUUGGACCGAGUGAUCUUCUCUUCUCAAAUCAAAGCCGGGAACAAAAACUUCCCCGCAAGGGCCACCACACAAUUGGUGCCUCUUGCCUUGAUUACAAUGGAGUUGUGAUCUCAAGAACAAGUGAGAGAGAAAAGAAGCAAUCCAAGCGCAAGAGCUCAAAUGAACACGGCAAAUCACUCUCACUAGUCACUAGGGUUUUGUGUGGAAUUGGAGAGGAUUUGAUCUCUUUGAAUGUGUCUAGAAUUGAAUGCCUAGCUCUUGUAAGUGGUUGAGAAGUGGGAAAACUUGGAUGCAAUGAAUGGAGGGGUGGUUGGGGUAUUUAUAGCCCCAACCACCAAAAGUGGCCGUUGGAAGGCUGCCUGUUCGAUGGCGCACCGGACAGUCCGGUGCACACCGGACAGUCCGGUGCCCCCUGCCACGUCAUCACUGCCGUUGGAUUCUAGCCGUUGGAGCUUCUGACUUGUGGGCCCGCCUGUGUGUCCGGUGCACACCGGACAUGUACUGUUUGAUGUCCGGUGCACCAGUAUGGGCGUGCCUGACGUCUGCGCGCGCUGCGCGCGCAUUAAAUGCACAGCAGGGAGCCGUUGGCGCCGCAGGGAGCCGUUGCUUCGCUGGCACACCGGACAGUCCGGUGCACACCGGACAGUCCGGUGAAUUUUAGCGGAGCGGCUGCCGCGCGAACCCGAGGCUGGCGAGUUCUGGAGACCGCGCUUCCUUGGAGCACCGGACAUGUCCGGUGCACACCGGACAGUCCGGUGAAUUAUAACGCGCCGGCUUCCGAGAAUUCCCGAGGGCGAAGGGUUUGAGUUGAUGUCCUCUGGGCGCACCGGACACUGUCCGGUGCACACCGGACAGUCCGGUGCCUCCAGCCAGAGGUGCCCUCGGUUGCCUCAUUGCUCCUUUGUUGAAUCCAAUACUUGGUCUUUUUAUUGACUGAAUGUGAACCUUAUACACCUGUAUAAUCUAUACACUUGGGCAAACUAGUUAGUCCAAAGAUUUGUGUUAGGCAAUUCAAUCAUCAAAAUUAUUUGGGAACUAGGUGAAAGCCUAAUUCCCUUUCAGGGAGCACGCCGAGGGGCUGAGAUCCGCACACCAUGGGAGGAGCUCGGCCAAGGGAGGCAGGCGGCGCAGGGAGCGAGCUGCUGCAGGGGAGGGUGCAGCCACCAUUGCUGCUGUUUGAGGGAGCAGGGAGGAAGACGACCGGUGAGGGCCAAUGGCCAUGGAUCUGGAGCUUGGCUGCCAUGGAACCGCAAGGAGCUGGGGAGCUCGAGCUGGGGCGCUAGGGAGAAGCACUAGCCUGGGGAAGAGAAUGGCGUGGGAGAGAAGGAGGUGGUGGGCUGCCAUCUAUGGAGGAGAAGCUCCAGAGCACGGCUGCCACGUUUCUUCAUUGCAGCAAUUCAUCGAACACGUGGUGAGUGCUACAGUAGCGACAUUGGGCGGCCAUUUUUAGCGUUUUCUGUUUGGAUUCGGACAUGGGUCACUGUAGCAAAGAUAAUUCCCACGCAAUACUCUACAAGUUUGAUUAAGGGUUCUCAGCCAUUUGCAAACUAGAUUAAGAGAUAAUUAAGUCCAAAGUUGCUACUGUCAAAGGGUUCAUUUCACCUAAGAAUGGAUGUCAAACCUUGUCAAAAUGGGUCGAAUGAAUGCCAUCUUUUGAUAUGAUGUGCCUCCAUUAGUUACUAACAACUUUUAUAUUUGGUGAAAAUCAAGUUGUUUAACAAAUUUUAGGGAACGCGAGACGUCGACCCGAACGACACUGAUUUCAGACUUAGAAGAAUUCAAAUCCUGAAAUCAGAUUUUUAUUCUGUCUUGAUAGCACUGUUUUAGAUACUUAGAGAUUGAAUCAAGGCUUAAUUUAAAUAUAAAAUGUGUUGAAUAACACAGGUUCUACAACUUUUAUUAAAGGUCAAACCUCAUAUCUUGAAUAUAAAUUAAAGUUUCACUUUGGUCAAAGUAGUAUCAUUAUAAGGCUUCAAUUUAUAUUUUAAGGCAAUUAGGGUAUUUUUCUCGAUAUUUUCUUGGCAUGGACCCUUAAUAACUUUUGUUGUAGAGUUCAUAUAGAUUGUUUUGGAAAAGUUGGCAUGACUUGGUUGAAUUUAUAAAUUUUUCUUUUACUUAAUCGAGCAGUCUCAUGCAAGCGUAGGAUUUAUAACUUCACACGAAUAUUUGAUUCAAACUUUAAGAAAUCUUUAGAAUACACUUGAUAGAUAGAGAUUAAUGAUGUCAUAAAGAUAAUAAGCUGAUUUGCAUAAAAAUUAAUUAGAGGUUGACACAAACAGAUUUUGCGAAAGAAUGCAGAUUCAGACAUGAGAUAUUUGGCCGAGUCAGAUAAAUAUGAUUAAAGGACGACAUAUCGAGUAUUCCAUCUGAAAGUACGAACUUGGAUUAAAAUAGUCGGACAUCGAUCGAGGUUCGAAGAAUUAGACUCGGGCUCAGAUCAAAUAACAACCGUCGAGAGUUUGAUUUAAAGAGCUUUAGAUGAGAUUUAUAAUUCGAGAAUGAUCUUCGAGUCUGCAUUCGUUCCGAGGAUUAAAAGUUUUAACAUGCUCCAAAAUUGGUUGUUUCUCACGAUCGAAUAACUCCAAAUUCGGUGAACUUCCAUGAGAAAGCCUGAUAGACAGAGAUAGACAUGAUCGAGAAAUAGAAAUUUUCACUGAGCAUCCAAGAUUAGGAUAAAUCUCCCGACGUAACAUGAAACUGACACCUGGGGUGUCACAUUUACUGCUUCCCAAGUGGCUCAGGUCAUUUUGGAUCGGGUGGUACGGUUGCAUGGCCUUCCCAAGUCUAUUGUCAGUGACCGGGACAAAAUCUUUACCAGUGCCUUUUGGACUCAAUUGUUCAAGAUUUUGGGUACUAAGCUAAAUUCAAGCACCGCAUACCAUCCACAGACCAACGACCAAAGUGAGCGUGUAAAUCAAUGUGUUGAGAUGUAUUUGAGAUGUGCAGUUCAUGCUCAGCCAACUAAGUGGAAGAACUGGCUACCACUUGCGGAAUUUUGGUACAAUACCUCUUAUCACACAUCUUUGGCUUGUUCUCCAUUCAAGGUUUUGUAUGGGUUGACCCUCCCUUUGCAGCAGCACCUCUUGUCCCUUCCGAUACUGCAGCUGAUGUGGCACAAGUUUUAGUUGAGAGGGCACAAUUUACAGCCAUGUUAAGGGAGCAACUGGCAGCAGCUCAGAAUCGAAUGAAACUGAGAGCAGAUCAUCAUAGAACUGAUCGACAGUUUCAAAUGGGCGAUAUGGUGCUGCUUAAACUACAGCCAUAUGCGCAACAUUCUGUGGUCAGUAGACCUUGUCCGAAGCCUGCUUUAAGUUCUUUGGACCUUACAAGAUCGUGGAGCGUGUGGGAGCAGUGGCUUACCGUUUGGAGCUACCUGUGUCGGCUCAAGUGCAUCCGAUGUUUCAUGUCUCAUAAUUGAAACCAUUCAUUCCAGAUUACACUCCUGUUUUUUCCACUUUGCCUGCUUACUCUGAUUUGAUUAGUCACAAUGUCCCGCCUUUGGAGAUUCUGGAUCGCCGGUUGGUCAAGAAAGGGAAUCAGGCCGUGCCAUAGGUGUUGAUCCGGUGGAGUUUGCUUCCAGCUGAUGCCACCACAUGAGAAGAUUACAAUGUUCUGUGUCAGCGCUAUCUAGAUGCCCUUGCUUGGGGCCAAGCAAGCCUUGGAGGGGGGCAGAUGUCAUGGCAGGAAGUGCCAUGGAGAGCAAGGAGGUGGGAGAAGAGAGGCUAGAAGACUGAAGAAGCAGGGUGUGCGUGCAGGAAGCCAGGUUGGGCUCAAAGUGGGUGUGCGUGAGUUUGGUUUGGGUCGGCCCAUGUAAGGGACCUACAACCUUGUAUCGAAUUGGAGAAUAAGGCAGAAAAGAAAUAGAGAAAGAAAAUUCCCCAAAAAUGAAUCAUGUCCGCGUCCCUGGCGGCUACAGGGCACUCACAUCAUGGCGGCUCUCCCUCCGACGGCCACGGGGCAUUACACCCCCACUUGAGGUGCCCCCUGCACCACCACUGGGUGUCCCGGCCCUCGCUGGAGUAGCUACUGGUGUAGACCUAGACAAUGGAGGUGGAGACAGCAGCUCAAGCCACAACACCGACCUUUUAUAGGAGCAAGAGCUGGAGAGAUGGGUUGCUCGACCCAUCACUCGUGACGCCACUCGUGGGUGUCACUUUCACGAUGCGCUCGACACCUUGCUACACCAGGCACUUGACCGGCGUACCUGGUCUAUCGAGUAUCGUUGUGUUGUCUUCCAGCAUAGUCGCGGGGUUUACCCUGUCAGCUGGGAGGUGACUUGUUUAGUGCGUCGUCCGGAGAAUAGUCUCCGGGGUGCGGAGGUCUGCUCAGAGCAUUACUCUAUCUCUGAGCGGGACUCAGCUGAGGCGGUCAUGCAAGAUGUCGCACGGUGUGCGAUUUCGCACUACUGCUCAGUGCUCGGUGGGGUAGUCGAUGGUCUUAACCUGAGGUAUUACCCCCGCCGUCCAUCUGGCAGCACAUGAGGCGUGGUUGUCUCACCUAUCGGUGAGGACAAUCCUAGGUUGAGCAGCACAGUAAACCUAGCCGCUGUGCUAAACAUGGAGCUGGACCAUGCUUUACAUGAGAUGAGUAGGGCUCAUGCUGAGAUUGCCUAGUUGCGGGCUGAGCGCGCGGAGCAUCGUCACCUAGUGGAUGGUUCUCCCGCCCCCGUCGGGACUCAGCACCCGUACCGCUCACCUCAGCGUGGACACCAUGCUUAUGGUAACCCUGACUGCAGGACCAUGAUAAAUUUAGAACCAUAGAUCGUCAGCGUCGGAUCUUGUAAUUAAUGCUUAAAAAUAGAAGUUAUAGUCUUAGCCUUACUCAUACUCUUAGUUAGUCUUAGUUAGACAUGGUAGUUUUGCUUAUUCUGUGUUUUUAUGUUUGUCAUGAUGAACUAUGAUGGAUUUGGAUCUUUGUAAUGACUGUCGCCAGAGUGUGGGUAUCCCCUACACUUUGGUUGACCUGUUAAUGUUAAUAAAAUUAGUUAUUUAGUUGGGAAGGCCUUUUAUUCUACUUUCAUCUUUAUCUGAGAAGUUGUGUUUGCCUGUGUUGAGAGUCAGUGAAGAUGUUUAUCUGUUCAGUAUUGUGGAAGAAUUCUAUACUCUUUUCUUAUGCUGCAAGUUUGCAAGAUCAGUUCUGAUGUGUGAUUGCAUUCUGCAGAUGUCAGACAACAGGCGCAGAGGAGGAAGGCGUGCUCAGCAGGAGCAGGCAGCACCGCAGGAUGAGGCACACCAGUAGUAGCUGCCAUCACCGCCCCCGAUGAUGACAGAGCAGAUGUUCUUGAUACAGACUAAGGCAGUCCAAGCCAUUGGUCAGACUCUGGCCGCUAUGCAGCAGCAGCAGCAUCAGCCCCCACCUCAGCCUCAAAUGCCCAGAGACAAGCAUGCUGAAUUCAUGAGAGGUCAUCCCCCAGUGUUCGCUCACUCUGCUGACCCCAUUGAUGCUAAAGAUUGGCUGCGUACCAUGGAGCGGGAGUUGCACACCGCUCAUUGUGAUGACAGGGAGAAAGUUUUGUAUGGUCUCCAUUUGUUGAGAGGAGCAGCUCAGUCUUUAUGGGAAUCCUACCUCGCCACCCACGCCAACCCCGACACCAUCACUUGGGAGGAAUUCAGAGAUAAUUUCCGUCAGUACCAUGUUCCAGCAGGUCUGAUGACAGUGAAGAAAGAGGAAAUUCUGGCGCUCAAGCAAGGGCCCAUGUCUGUAUGUGAGUACCGAGACAGGUUCUACAGUUGUCCCGCUAUGCUCCUGAAGAUGUAAGCACAGAUGCCAAGAGUCAGUAUCACUUCUUGAAAGGCUUAGUCGAUCCCCUGCACUAUUAGCUGAUGAAUCAAACCUUCCCCACAUUUCAGCACCUGAUCGACAGAGCAAUCAUGAUAGAGAAGAAGCGCAAGGAGAUGGAGGAUCGCAAGCGCAAGAUUGGUGGACCUCAGCCUGGAAGCAGCAAGCGCCCUCAUUUCUCAGGCAACCCACCUCAGUAGUUCAAGAAGAACCAGCGCCCGCCUCAGUAGCAGUUUUAGAGGCAGUACCCUCAGCACCUGUCACACCCGGGUUUUAGGGGUCCAAAGCCCGGGCGCAAACAUAAUCACCAGGUGUGCUGGGACCAAGUCUCACACAUAUGAUGAAUCAUGGCACAGGAUCGAAUGUCACAUCUUUACUAUAUAAUAGGAGUUCUAUACAAAAUAAAUAAAUAAUUACAUUAUAAGGGGACAAUGGUCCAGCAACCCAAAGUUGACUGGGAGACGACGGCCUAGACCUCUCAUGAACACAUCGCAACAUCCUCCAUGCACCUCAUCAUGUGGUACCUGUUCUUGACCUGUGGAGGGUGUGAGACAGCAAGAGUGAGCUCACAUACGUUCAUCGCUCAACAAGUUGUGGGGAAUAAUGUGCAUGAACUCCCCAAAGGUGGGAGCUCACGUGAAGUGUAAGGCUUACCAAAGAGGAUGGCUAGAGCUGAGCAUUGCUUUUAAAGUUGGUCAAAAUUUUAUUAGCAGUUACUAAUUAUAAGUAAAUACCAACUCAAUUAAAUAGUAGAACAAAAGUAACAACAUCACCUGCGAUGCAAUGCAUAUGACAAAUUGAAUUUAGUUCCAUAAAUUAAUCAUGUGAGGGUCCGAGCUGCUCAUGACCGUGAGCACGGCUAGUAUAACAGUUUUACACUCUGCAGAGGUUGCACAUCUUUACCCACAAGUCAUGUUACCCAUCUGCCAAGGGAUCGCGACUUCCCAUACACCUCUACCGAGGAGGCGAGGCAGGGUAACACUACGAGGCCUUUACAAAGUUCCACUAGCUUCAGAAAACCCGCUAUAGUUUAUAGGAAGCUCCAAUGCAGGGUUCUUGCCCUACCGCCAUCGCAGCAAAAUCAACCAAGGACCUCCCUACACUGACCACUCACCUACUGCCCUUGCCCCUUUCGGGUAAGGUAGUCCUCCACUAGCUUUCCUAAUUAAUCAGCCAAGGGCGUCCAUAAACCCUUGUGGUAGCACUGUUUUCCCGGGUGGUCGCUCCAUGUUCCAAUUAACAUAAUGAUCUUAUCAUGAACAGUGAUAAUAAACAGAUAAUAAAAGUGUGAUCAUGAAUAAUGUAUCUUCAUACCCAAAACCACAUAAAGCACUAGCAAGUACUACCCAAAAAGUUCAGUGGUAAACAAGGUAUAAAGAUAGACAAACUAGGGUAACCUAUUGGGUCCCAUCAAAAUUAACCUAUGCAGACCAUUAUGAUUAAUCAGAACAUGGCUGGGUAAAAAGAAGUGAUCAAGGGCACAACUUGCCUGGGACUUGAGAUUUCAGGUACCAACUUGCUCUUCAGAUGACACGUGUCCUCACUGCUAGUCAUAGCAAUACAGACAAACAUGGUAUAGGAAAAAUUAACAUCAGACCAAGCAUAAGUAUAAACUGCGUAUUAAUAAUCUACGCGACCUAUGGGAACUGCUUAACACGCGUCGCAAUUAGACUAAGCACAUAUUGAAUUAAAACAUGUAUGUUGGUAUUAAUCACGUUAAUGUAUGUUUAUAAAAGUGCAACUUAAAACUAUAAAUUAGUUUUAAUCAAAUUGUUAUUUGAAUAAAUAUCGGAUAAACAAACAAACAAAAAAAACUCGUGUCAUGACAAAAUAACAUUUUAACAUGUUGACAAUAUUAUUACAAAGUCAGUCAAAACGAGUUUAUGACGCAAAAUUUAUUGAAUAAAUUUCGCGGAUUAAAUGGUGUGGCACAAUUUCAUUGCCGAGAACCUGCCACACAGAGAACCACGUGGAAACACAACCGUAGACAAUCUUUAGGAUCUAUUGGAUUAAGAAGAAUAUGAGGUUGAAUGGCAUGCAGGUGGGGGCCAUAUGAUGCAGGAUCUCGGGUGGUUGAGCGGCAUGCAGUUUUUUUCCUAUCUUCUGGUAGCAUGCGGCGUGCAUGUGGGUGGGCCCAUGUGGCGUUUUUUUGGCUUGGGCUGCAUGCAGAUCAUGCGCAUGGGAGAGGAGUCCCCAAGGCAGUUCUUUCCUCCACAUUUCCUGCAACCGCAUGGCAUGGUACGACGGCCGCUGGACUUCCGGGUGGGAGCGGCAAUACGCCAACUCGCCGAGGCUGGGAAGGGGCUACAUGGGGAAGGGCGCCGCCAUGGCCAAGGGAGUCGUGUCAAGGGGACGGUUGCAUGUUGUGCGUAAGGAGAAGAACACGUCAUGGCUAGAGAAGAAGAUCAGCAAGGGUUGGUAAUGGCGCUACGUGCUUCCACGGCGAGUACAGAAAGGGGCGUGGGGAGCAAGGGAGUGUACCUGCUAACUGCAAUUGACAUCUCGGCGAACCUCCCAGAACACCUGUACGAGCCCGAUUUACCGUAGAGGAGGAGCGACAUCGAAUGGCGGCCCAUGGCCUCAGCACUAAAUUUGGCUAGAUCAUAGUAGACACCAUGGCCAGGGGUUGCCGAGGUCCAUAUAUAUAUACACCCAACAGAAGUCCGGCUAGAAGGAUUGGGACGAGAGAGAUCCGCAUCGAAUCUCAAACAAAUUCAGUUGACAAAAUCUCUGGAGAUCGAGCCCCACCAUGCAGCAACAUCCGCUCUCAUGAACGCUGCUGAAUUCUCAGGCUGCCGUCAGCGUUUGAUGCAAGCAUGCAACUAGGAAUAAUAAAAAAAAAUAGGAAAAUAGACAUGUGCUGGACGGAAUGAGUAAUGGGCUGAGGGGUAGGAGUGGAUCUGGUCCAAGUAGAUGGCUGGUGAGCACUCUUCUCUUUUUUUUCUUUCAUGUUUUCAAAUUUAAAUUCAAGUUUGAUUCUAAUUUAAGUAUUAGGUUUGCACUCAAAUACAACAACCAAAAACGAAACCAGCAUGGGACGCAAAUAUAAUUUUUAUGUCAAUUUUUUUAUUCAUUUGAGCAAAUGCUUCAAAAUAUAUAGUACACACAACUAUGUAAUUUAACAAUAAAUUGCUCGUAUAGUAUAAUCAAAAGUCAAUUCCAAUAUUCAAUGUUCAUUACUCAUUUAUUUUACUAGAAAAUAAGCUCUAAUGUAUAAUUUCUACCAUGAGAUACUUUUAAUCUAAUAUUUUUAUAUGAACGUUUCAAAACAUAUAAUCCAUCAAUUAAACAAUAGAGGAUUUUAUGUUGUCCCUUUUUAAUUACAAAUUCGAAUUCUAGUCUCCAAGUUUGAAUAUAAAAUUUGAACUACCAAAAAUUUUAUAUAUCUAGUUAUUUAUUUUAGGAAGGUAUAAUCCUUUAUUAGAAGAGAAUUUAGUUUAAUUCUAUUUGAAAAAAAAUUACUAAACCCAAAAUCAGGAUUUUGGGGUGUUACAAAUUCUACCCCCUUAAAAAUAAUCUCGACCUCGAGAUUAGUAAGAAAGAGAUACAGAAAGAUUGGUUUGCAGUCUAUGUUUUAGUUUCUAAUUGGUUUUAAUACCUAAAGAUUUUUUUUGUUCUAGUCUAUAUCUCAAAUUAUCAGGUGACUAGGAAAGCAUGGGUAUGUAUAUGUCUAGACACUUUAUUAUGUAUGAUAAAAGAUGGGUAGGUUAGGUUAGGGCAAGAAUAGCUUGGGGUAAGAAAGUUUAUGGCGAGAAAGAACUCCUUGUUGGGUGGUAAUGCAUCUGAAGAUCGACUUUGAUUUCUCUCCUUUCUUGACGAGGUUGAUCUUGUCCUUUUCUGGUCUUGGUCUCAUUGAUUCGAGGUCAGUGUAUAUCAUUGGAGUUGGGGAAAUGUAGUUAAGAUAGUUAUGGAUGAGAUAGAGUACAUGAUGUAGGUCAAAAGCUUGUUUGUUGUCAAGUGAGGGUAGACAGAUUAUGCAAUCCAUCAUGACUUCUACGGGUUGGGUUAGAUCUUAUGCUCAUGGUUGAGUUGGUCUAUCAUUCUUUAUUUAGUGCAGAGUGAACUAAGAUAAAGAAUGUGGAUAGGGUCUAAUCUAUUUCACAAGUAUUAACUUAUCCAUUAAGUAACUCACUUUAGAUUGGACCAUAUUAGAUUAGAUGGGAUCUAGAUUAGAUUGGUAUAAUUAGAUUAGACUAGAUAUUAUCUAAUUACAUUGGAUUAGAUCAUGGUUGUUACACUAGUGCGGGAUAAAUAUGCUUAUUGGGGCAAGAUGAAUCCAUAAGGAUAAGAUAGAAUCUUUUAAGGUCAGUUAGAUCUAUUAGGAUAAGAUAAAAUCUUUUCAAGAUAAGAUGAAUCUAUUAAGGUAGGAGAGUAUCUUUUAAGAUAAGAUGGAUAUAUUCUAGUGGUGGAUAUUCGUAGAUGAUCUAGUUUAUCUUAUAAAUAUAUCUAGUUUAAUAGAUCCAUUUUUAAUAGGGAAUAUUCUGUGUUGUCUAUUUUGUAAAUAUUUUCCCUUAUGUCUAGGUGUAUAUGCAGAUGCAAUUGUGGACAUUACUCCACAAACCAUCACACUCAAUCAAAGAUCCAAAUCAGACAAGUAUCAUAAGAACAAGCACUCAAGCGUAUAAACACCUAUAAAAAUAGUUUUGUUUUUGUUCCUAAGAGUAGGUCUCCUAUUCCUAAAGUCACUUUAGGCACAUGAUUUCAAAGUGUGAAAUCCACAUUUGUCAUUAGAGAGAAAAGGUAAGAAUAAUCAGAGUAAAGCGGAAAUAGAUGAGAAAAGAUUAAGAUAAGUUUAGAAAAGAAUCAGAGUAGCAAAGGUAAGUAUUGGUUGUCCAGUUCUAUCUAGGUUUCAUCCUACAGUCAACAUUCCUCUGAUACCACUUCUGUCACACCCGGAUUUUGAGGCACCAAGACCCGGACGCAAACAUAAUCACCAGGUGUGCUGGGACCAAGUCUCACACAUAUGAUGAAUCAUGGCACAGGAUCGAAUGUCACAUCUUUACUAUAUAAUAGGAGUUCUAUACAAAAUAAAUAAAUAAUUACAUUAUAAGGAGACAAUGGUAAAGCAACCCAAAGUUGACUGGGAGACGACGACCUAGACCUCUCACGAACACAUCGCAACAUCCUCCAUGCGCCUCAUCAUGUGGUACCUGUUCUUGACCUGUGGGGGGUGUGAGACAGCAAGAGUGAGCUCACAUACGUUCAUCACUCAACAAGUUGUGGGGAAUAAUGUGCAUGAACUCACCAAAGGUGGGAGCUCACGUGAAGUGUAAGGCUUACCAAAGAGGAUGGCUAGAGCUGAGCAUUGCUUUUAAAGUUGGUCAAAAUUUUAUUAGCAGUUACUAAGCAUAAGUAAAUACCAACCCAAUUAAAUAGUAGAACAAAAGUAACAACAUCACCUGCGAUGCAAUGCAUAUGACAAAUUGAAUUUAGUUCCAUAAAUAAAUCAUGUGAGGGUCCGAGCUGCUCAUGACCGUGAGCACGGCUAGUAUACCAGUUUUACACUCUGCAGAGGUUGCGCAUCUUUACCCACAAGUCAUGUUACCCAUCUGCCAAGGGAUCGCGACUUCCCAUACACCUCUACCAAGGAGGCGAGGCAGGGUAACACUACGAGGCCUUUACAAAGUUCCACUAGCUUCAGAAAACCAGCUACAGUUUAUAGGAAGCUCCAAUGCAGUGUUCUUGCCUGACCGCCAUCGCAGCAAAAUCAACCAAGGACCUCCCUACACUGACCACUCCCCUACUUCCCUUGCCCCUUUCGGGUAAGGUAGUCCUCCACUAGCUUUCCUAAUUAAUCAGCCAAGGGCGUCCAUAAACCCUUGUGGUAGCACUGUUUUCCCAGGUGGUCGCUCCAUGUUCCAAUUAACAUAAUGAUCUUAUCAUGAACAGUGAUAAUAAACAGAUAAUAAAAGUGUGGUCAUGAAUAAUGUAUCUUCAUACCCAAAACCACAUAAAGCACUAGCAAGUACUACCCAAAAAGUUCAGUGGUAAACAAGGUAUAAAGAUAGACAAACUAGGGUAACCUAUUGGGUCCCAUCAAAAUUAACCUAUGCAGAUCAUUAUGAUUAAUCAGAACAUGGCUGGGUAAAAAGAAGUGAUCAAGGGCACAACUUGCCUGGGACUUGAGAUUCCAGGUACCAACUUGCUCUUCAGAUGACACGUGUCCUCACUGCUAGUCGUAGCAAUACAGACAAACAUGGUAUAGGAAAAAUUAACAUCACACCAAGCAUAAGAAUAAACUGCGUAUUAAUAAUCUAAGCGACCUAUGGGAACUGCUUAACACACGUCGCAAUUAGACUAAGCACAUAUUGAAUUAAAACAUGUAUGUUGGUAUUAAUCACGUUAAUGUAUGUUUAUAAAAGUGCAACUUAAAACUAUAAAUUAGUUUUAAUCAAAUUGUUAUUUGAAUAAAUAUCGGAUAAACAAACAAACAAAAAAACUCGUGUCAUGACAAAAUAACAUUUUAACAUGUUGACAACAUUAUUACAAAGUCAGUCAAAACGAGUUUAUGACGCAAAAUUUAUUGAAUAAAUUUCGUGGAUUAAAUGGUGUGGCGCAAUUUCAUUGCCGAGAACCUACCACACAGAGAACCACGUGGAAACACAACCGUAGACAAUCUUUAGGAUCUAUUGGAUUAAGGAGAAUAUGAGGUUGAAUGGCAUGUAGGUGGGGGCCACAUGAUGCAGGAUCUCGGGUGGUUGAGCGGCAUGCAGUUUUUUUCCUAUCUUCUGGUAGCAUGCGCCGUGCAUGUGGGUGGGCCCAUGUGGCGUUUUUUUGGCUUGGGCUGCAUGCAGAUCAUGCGCAUGGGAGAGGAGUCCCCAAGGCAGUUCUUUCCUCCACAUUUCCUGCAACCGCAUGACAUGGUACGACGGCCGCUGGACUUCCGGGUGGGAGCGGCAAUACGCCAACUCGCUGAGGCUGGGAAGGGGCUACAGGGGGAAGGGCGCCGCCAUGGCCAAGGGAGUCGUGUCGAGGGGACAGUUGCAUGGUGUGCGUAAGGAGAAGAACACGUCAUGGCUAGAGAAGAAGAUCGGCAAGGGUCGGUAAUGGCGCUACGUGCUUCCACGGCGAGUACAGAAAGGGGCGUGGGGAGCAAGGGAGUGUACCUGCUAACUGCAAUUGACAUCUCGGUGAACCUCCCAGAACACCUGUACGAGCCCGAUUUACCGUAGAGGAGGAGCGACAUCGAAUGGCGGCCCAUGGCCUCAGCACUAAAUUUGGCUAGAUCAUAGUAGACACCAUGGCCAGGGGCUGCCGAG